rfam:Triticum aestivum genome assembly, contig: Triticum_aestivum_CS42_TGACv1_scaffold_158006_2DL
GAUAUACUCCCUCCGUCUAGAAUUACUUGCCGUAAAAAUGGAUAAAAAUGAAUGUAUUUAAAACUAAAAUACAUCUAUAUACAUUCAUUUCUCCGACAGGUAUUUUUGGACGGAGGGAGUACUUU